CACUGUACCAGAAGGCCCAACUGCUGGGACAAUGGCAGUGCUAUGGGCAGGCCACCAAACGGGCAGUGGUGCAUGCCCUGAGCUGAGAGGGCAGUAUGAAACCAAGCAAAACUUGGGUUUUGUGUUCUCCUUGCAGACAAAAGACAGCUGGGUACCAACAGAAUGUAGGUGAUUCCAGGGCAGCUGCUUGUAGAUGAGUGGUGUGGUGAUGUCUAGGGCUCAGCACCACGCAGACUGCCUUGAAGCUGCUCCUUUUCUCCCUCUUCAUUCUUCCUGUAGGAUCCUAGGAAAAAGGGGUGCUUGCCAUAACUCAGGGAGAGUUUGGACUCGCAGCAAAAAUGGGUGGGUGGAAAAGCUGUUUUCUGUUUGCCUUUUUUUUUUUUUUUUUUUUUUUUCCUUCCCUACUCCAGUUUGGGCUCUGACACACAAUGUUUCACUCUGUUGUUUGAGACUUUGCCACUAAAAUCUUGGGAAGAAAGGAACCUUCUUCCCUGUUGCAUGGCUGGUAUUUUUCAGGAUACCCCGCUGGGCUUCUGAAGCCAAGUGAUGACAGAUACCCUGUGACAGACGUAAAAAAAAAAAACACAGUUCUGGAAUCUGAACAGUGAAUCAAAUAUAAGAGCAAAAGCUAAACUGACUUGUGUGUCUUCGUAGUUGCCUCCCAGUUUCAAAACAGGCUAUAUAAGUGUAAAGCAUUUAAAAUACUUCUUGGGAAAAUUGCCGACUUUGAAUAUCUGAGAAGAAAUGUGAAAGAUAAUUUGUAACUAUGAAAAUAUGUAGCAGUGAAACUUCUGGAGAAACAAUGCAGCGCGUGGAUAUAGAGAUCUGGAGUUGUGAAAGCCUGUAAGUCAGAUAAACCACCAGGGAUUCACUUUUACUAUGGUGAGAAGGCUCCCAAUUCUCAGUACGGAUGUGAGAUGUCUACGCCCAAUCUGAAGGAGUCCAUCCCCUUGGACAAUUAAAAUUAGAUUGUUAAAGUUAAAUGCCUGGCUGGAUCAUUAACUUUAUUUUGUAAUAAUAAAAGAAUAGUGACAACUUCCAAUAAAAGAG